CCGCGGCCCAUUAGCUAGUUGGCGGGGUAAAGGCCCACCAAGGCUACGAUGGGUAGCUGGUCUGAGAGGAUGAUCAGCCACACUGGGACUGAGACACGGCCCAGACUCCUACGGGAGGCAGCAGUGGGGAAUCUUGCGCAAUGGGCGAAAGCCUGACGCAGCAACGCCGCGUGCGGGAGGAAGGCCUUCGGGUUGUAAACCGCUUUCAGGGGAGACGAAGCUUCCAGGGUGAAUAGCUCUGUGGAGUGACGGUAUCUUCAGAAGAAGUCCCGGCUAACUACGUGCCAGCAGCCGCGGUGAUACGUAGGGGACAAGCGUUGUCCGGAAUUAUUGGGCGUAAAGCGCGUGUAGGCGGCCAAGUAAGUCUUACGUGAAAUCCUGAGGCUCAACCUCAGGCCUGCGCGGGAUACUGCUUGGCUAGAGUCCGGAGGAGGAGAGUGGAAUUCCUGGUGUAGCGGUGGAAUGCGCAGAUAUCAGGAGGAACAUCCGUGGCGAAGGCGGCUCUCUGGGACGGUACUGACGCUGAGACGCGAAAGCGUGGGGAGCGAACAGGAUUAGAUACCCUGGUAGUCCACGCCGUAAACGAUGGGCGCUAGGUGUGGGAGGUGUCGAUUCCUUCCGUGCCGAAGCUAACGCAUUAAGCGCCCCGCCUGGGGAGUACGGUCGCAAGACUAAAACUCAAAGGAAUUGACGG
rnacentral:rRNA from 1 species